CUGCAAUUCCUUGGUCUAAGCCCCCCAUUCAGGCCAGCCUAUUGAGAAUCUCAGCUGCUGGGACCUCCUACAGUCCGCUGACAUUCUCCCGACUAUGGAAUAAGGUAAAGACCACAAGAAGAGACGAACAGGUGUUUUCUAAGCAACAGCAGUGCAGUAGUGACCAUUGAUGAUUGGGGUCAAGAUACUCGAUGGCAAAUGACCAGCAACACACAAGUGCAGAAAAAUGGGUAAGAUGCUGCAAACUUAAAAGAAAAUAUACAAAAAGAAAUGAGGAGAAAAGAGUAUACGUACAGUUACCAGUUUUUGUUCAUACACCAGAGAUAUUCUUUGAUACCCAAGGGCUCACCCUCUCUCCUCCUCAACUAGCAAGUAUAUUCAGCAGGUUUCUUUCUCAAGGUACGGAGGCACCUAGAGGCAGGGCCAUCUUUUACACCAGGCGACAGAGUGAAAAGUCAACAUGGUGACAUUUCCGCUGCUGACAUCAUCCCAGUUACGUGGCAUUGCGUUUAAUCUUCUUGAGCUUCUUCUCUGUUCCGGUACAAGAACAACACCUUUUCCUUUAAGUCCUGCUCCCUGGCUCCGGGGGAAGAGACAAGGGUGUGACCGUGGCGUAUGUUCUCCAAGAGACUCUUCCUGCCCUGCUCUCAGCAGUGCCCUGAGUGGUGAUGGAUAAAUGCUCGUUAUCAGUGGGGAACAACCUGCCAUCCCUGGUACCCUGACUUGGCUACCUGAUUGCUUCCGGGGAGAUGUGGGGCUGCCCAGGGCAUGGCCUGUUUCUUCAGUCAUCUCUUGGCUGUCCCUCCUUUCCGUAUUGGGA